rnacentral:rRNA from 1 species
AUACGGAGGAUCCGAGCGUUAUCCGGAUUUAUUGGGUUUAAAGGGAGCGUAGGCGGACGCUUAAGUCAGUUGUGAAAGUUUGCGGCUCAACCGUAAAAUUGCAGUUGAUACUGGGUGUCUUGAGUACAGUAGAGGCAGGCGGAAUUCGUGGGGUAGCGGUGAAAUGCUUAGAUAUCACGAAGAACUCCGAUUGCGAAGGCAGCCUGCUGGACUGUAACUGACGCUGAUGCUCGAAAGUGUGGGUAUCAAACAGGAUUAGAUACCCUGGUAGUCCACACAGUAAACGAUGAACACUCGCUGUUUGCGAUAUACAGUAAGCGGCCAAGCGAAAGCGUUAAGUAUUCCACCUGGGGAGUACGCCGGCAACGGUGAAACUCAAAGGAAUUGACGGGG